rnacentral:tRNA from 3 species
GAAAAACUAGUUAAAAAAUAACAUAAGAUUGUCAAUCCUAAAUUAUCAUAUUAAAAUGAUGUUUUUCA